UGUCCCAAGUUCGGACCUCUAGUUCGAACUGAUGAUGAUGAUGAUGCAUUUGCUUGCCCCUGUAAUGCUUGUGGAGUGUGCUCCAGUGUUUCUUCUUGCACCUGUACUGCCUCAUCUGUUUCAUUUAUAGAGAGCUGCUGGCUAUGUCCUCUACCUCUAGAUGAUACUGCUCUUCGAGGCAUCUAAAAAAAAUAAUAGUCCAUAAGUUUAAAUUAACAAUAAAGACAAACAAUAUAUAAAACCAUAAUCAAAUAUUAAAACAAACAAUAAAGACAAACAAACAAUAUAUAUUAUCCAAUUAUUACAGUGUAACAGAAUUGAGUAGAUGUUGACAACACCAAAUUGACCUCUGCUUGUGAAAGGUAGAAUCUCUGGUGCUCUACUAGUGUCUUCUUAUUAUUAUCACAAAGGCAGUGGCCAAUCAAUUGAAUUCCAACCAUAUCAUGAGAGAAAGUUUCUAGCUAUAUGGUACAUCCAGUUUUUUUUUUUUUCAAAUUGUGCAAGUCAUAAUCAAUCCUCUAUCUCUCUCUCUGUAUAUAUCUAUCUAUCUCUCAUAGCAACGUAUCUGCUUGUACAGUUAGCUAGCCUAUGUCCGUAAUUUAAUUGUAAUUUUAAGUGGAUUUAUUAGCUUCAAAGUUUGGUAACCCAGCAGUAGAAACAUUGGAGAAAUGCUCAAUGACACGAACCAGGUGGAUGAAUAGUCCAUAAAAAAAUGCAGAAGUUUGAUGGGUUUAUAAGAAAGAAAUCUUCAAUCUGUCAACUUAACAAAAUUGACUAUUAUUUACCAUAUGUAAAAUAUUGUAAAAAUUUACUAUAUAUAUAUAUAUAUAUAUAUAUAAUUUCUUUUCUUAAUUGAAUAUAAUAUAAAAAUUUUACUAUUAAUUUAACUGAUUUUCUUUUAUAUAAUAAAUUAUAAUUUAUUUUUUCCUUUAGUUGCCCUGUUAAGCCCAUUUUCAUGUAACCUCUUUUGAAUUGGCUUCAUACAUAAGCCUCUCAUUGCUUGCUGAAAUGAAAUUUAUCUAUUUAUUGACAAAAAAUUAAAAAAGAAAAAGAAAACUCGCAAUCCCUUUUAACUAAUUAGACAAUUCGAAUAAAAAUAGGAAAAUCUGGCUAACAAAAUUCCUUCCCACCACAGAGAAAAAAUAGGAAAAGUGAAAGAAACCACAAGAGGAUAACAAGAAAAUGAAAAUUUUUACUACAGUGUUAUCUCUAUGGACAGAAUUUUUUUUUUUUUUCUAACAGAGAAAAUGUUUUUCAUUAUGCCCAUAUAAAUUGUAUUAUUGGGUAUUACAAGAGAAUUUAUGGGAUAGAUGCAAUUUUUAGACUUAUUCUGCAGAAAAAAGAACACAAUGUGGUUAUCCUUUCUCGCCAUUCAAAAUUUUCUUUUACCAUUUUCAAUGCAAGUACAUAGCUUUCCUUUCGAUUUCAUCACAUAACAUAAACCCAAAAGAAAAUAAAAAGCUGUAGCAUUGGAUUUUCACCUUGAAAUGCUCAAGAUGUGGAAACAAUUAAACAAACAUAUUUGCAUUAUGUUAGAGUUUUUCUUCCUCGUUUGACUCCAAAUUCAUAAGCUUGUGGAUUUGAACUUUUACCCUUCUGUUAAUUCCCCCAACCCUUUUCAGUUCAUAAUUAAAAUGGAUAUAUACAGUAAUAAGGAAAUGAAAAGCAGAAAUCUGGCCUUUUCUUCUUUAGAUUAGGUCCAAAUGUGUUCUAUAUGUUAUUGCACUAGAAGUCCAUUCUACUCUAGAAUUUUUACCUUUAUGUAUGAUAUUUGUGAGAUUUCUUAUCUGCCAUUUUUAAUUUCCUUUCUACUCCGGCUGAAAAGGUUUCAAGUAAAAUUUCUGGCAAACCACCAAACCAUGUUAAAGUAGUUGAGACUUUUAAAUGGAGAUAAGAAGGAUUUAUAAAUGCAAUCUCAUCUGAGCCAAGAUCCAUUGCCCAUAAAGGCUAAACCAGUUCCACCAUCCUUUUAUGAAACCAUUUCCUUUACCUAUACAUAAUUAUACCCCACACCCAUCUACCAUACCAUUCUUGUUCUGCUUCACCAAAUUUCCUAGAGAUUAUGCAUUAAUUCUGUUGUUGGGAGAUUUUGAGCAAAUACCAAGUGUUUUUCUUCAUAACCCAGAAUUUAAAUCCCUUUCCCUUAUGCUUAAACAUGCCUCUUAAUCAUCAAACACAUAUGGAAAAAUUAAUAUUAAUUUAAUAGUUUAAUAUUAGGAGUGCAACAGUGCCUUGCAAGUUAUUUGAAACUUCCCAUUUGAAUUUUAAAUAAAAAUAUAAUACAAGGAGAGACACACAAAAGCACCUCUUUUAUCGUGAACAGAUCUAAGAUAAAGGGAAAUAAAUAAAUAACUGAGAAAUAAAAAAAAAUCAAGAGGAUUGCAAAUCUACCAUAAAAUCUGAAUAAAUAGACAAACGGUAUCAAAGAAAUUAUGGAAUUAAGUACUAUAUUUAAAAGAAACUUGUUACCUUCAGCAAUCAGAGUUUUUUUUCGUUGAACAACAAUCGGAGUAUGUAGAGCGACAGAGAGCAAAAUGAUCGGUUGAUUUGUACUGAGAAUUAAAGCCAAAUUGAAUUCCCACACAAUUGAUCCAACUAAAAGAUCUUAGGGAUAGAGAGGGGAGAGAGGCGUCGACGGAUAGAGGGAGAGAGGGAAGCAAUUAGGGAUAGAGAGGCAGAGAGGGAAGCAAUUAGGGAUAGUGAGGGAGAGACGGAGAGAGGGAGAGAGGGCGCCGACAGGGAGAGACGAAUAGAGAGGGAGAGACGAAUAG
rnacentral:lncRNA from 1 species